rnacentral:rRNA from 1 species
AGUGAACGCUGGCGGUAGGCCUAACACAUGCAAGUCGAACGGCAGCACAGUAAGAGCUUGCUCUUACGGGUGGCGAGUGGCGGACGGGUGGGGAAUACAUCGGAAUCUACUUUUUCGUGGGGGAUAACGUAGGGAAACUUACGCUAAUACCGCAUACGACCUACGGGUGAAAGCAGGGGAUCUUCGGACCUUGCGCGAUUGAAUGAGCCGAUGUCGGAUUAGCUAGUUGGCGGGGUAAAGGCCCACCAAGGCGACGAUCCGUAGCUGGUCUGAGAGGAUGAUCAGCCACACUGGAACUGAGAUACGGUCCAGACUCCUACGGGAGGCAGCAGUGGGGAAUAUUGGACAAUGGGCGCAAGCCUGAUCCAGCCAUACCGCGUGGGUGAAGAAGGCCUUCGGGUUGUAAAGCCCUUUUGUUGGGAAAGAAAAGCAGCAGGUUAAUACCCCGCUGUUCUGACGGUACCCAAAGAAUAAGCACCGGCUAACUUCGUG